rnacentral:rRNA from 1 species
UACGUAGGGUGCGAGCGUUGUCCGGAUUUAUUGGGCGUAAAGAGCUUGUAGGCGGCUCGUCACGUCGGGUGUGAAAACUCGCGGCUCAACCGCGAGCCUGCACCCGAUACGGGCGGGCUAGAGUUCGGCAGGGGAGACUGGAAUUCCUGGUGUAGCGGUGGAAUGCGCAGAUACCAGGAGGAACACCGGUGGCGAAGGCGGGUCUCUGGGCCGAUACUGACGCUGAGAAGCGAAAGCGUGGGGAGCGAACAGG